rnacentral:rRNA from 1 species
AUUGAACGCUGGCGGCAGGCCUAACACAUGCAAGUCGAGCGGAUGAAGUGAGCUUGCUCCUGGAUUCAGCGGCGGACGGGUGAGUAAUGCCUAGGAAUCUGCCUGGUCGUGGGGGAUAACGUCCGGAAACGGGCGCUAAUACCGCAUACGUCCUGAGGGAGAAAGUGGGGGAUCUUCGGACCUCACGCUAUCAGAUGAGCCUAGGUCGGAUUAGCUAGUUGGUGGGGUAAAGGCCUACCAAGGCGACGAUCCGUAACUGGUCUGAGAGGAUGAUCAGUCACACUGGAACUGAGACACGGUCCAGACUCCUACGGGAGGCAGCAGUGGGGAAUAUUGGACAAUGGGCGAAAGCCUGAUCCAGCCAUGCCGCGUGUGUGAAGAAGGUCUUCGGAUUGUAAAGCACUUUAAGUUGGGAGGAAGGGCAGUAAGAUAAUAUCUUGCUGUUUUGACGUUACCAACAGAAUAAGCACCGGCUAACUUCGUG